rnacentral:rRNA from 1 species
AACCUUCCGCAAUGGACGAAAGUCUGACGGAGCAACGCCGCGUGAGUGAAGAAGGNUUNNGGAUCNUNAAACUCUGUUGUUAGNNNNNAACAAGGAUGAGAGUAACUGCUCGUCCCUUGACGGUAUCUAACCAGAAAGCCAUGGCUAACUACGUGCCAGCAGCCGCGGUAAUACGUAGAUGGCAAGCGUUGUCCGGAUUUAUUGGGCGUAAAGCGAGCGCAGGCGGUUCUUUAAGUCUGAUGUGAAAGCCCCUGGCUCAACCAGGGAGGGUCAUUGGAAACUGGAGAACUUGAGUGCAGAAGAGGAAAGUGGAAUUCCAUGUGUAGCGGUGAAAUGCGUAGAUAUAUGGAGGAACACCAGUGGCGAAGGCGACUUUCUGGUCUGUAACUGACGCUGAGGCUCGAAAGCAUGGGGAGCAAAC